rnacentral:rRNA from 1 species
UACGUAGGGCGCAAGCGUUGUCCGGAAUUAUUGGGCGUAAAGAGCUCGUAGGCGGUUUGUCGCGUCUGGUGUGAAAACUCAAGGCUCAACCUUGAGCUUGCAUCGGGUACGGGCAGACUAGAGUGUGGUAGGGGGUGACUGGAAUUCCUGGUGUAGCGGUGGAAUGCGCAGAUAUCAGGAGGAACACCGAUGGCGAAGGCAGGUCACUGGGCCACUACUGACGCUGAGGAGCGAAAGCAUGGGGAGCGAACAGG